rnacentral:rRNA from 1 species
AUUGAACGCUGGCGGAAUGCUUUACACAUGCAAGUCGAACGGCAGCACGGACUUCGGUCUGGUGGCGAGUGGCGAACGGGUGAGUAAUAUAUCGGAACGUGCCCAGUCGUGGGGGAUAACGUAGCGAAAGCUACGCUAAUACCGCGUACGAUCUACGGAUGAAAGCGGGGGAUCGCAAGACCUCGCGCGAUUGGAGCGGCCGAUAUCAGAUUAGGUAGUUGGUGAGGUAAAGGCUUACCAAGCCGACGAUCUGUAGCUGGUCUGAGAGGACGACCAGCCACACUGGGACUGAGACACGGCCCAGACUCCUACGGGAGGCAGCAGUGGGGAAUUUUGGACAAUGGACGCAAGUCUGAUCCAGCCAUUCCGCGUGCAGGACGAAGGCCUUCGGGUUGUAAACUGCUUUUGUACAGAACGAAAAGGUCUCUAUUAAUACUAGGGGCUCAUGACGGUACUGUAAGAAUAAGCACCGGCUAACUACGUGCCAGCCGCCGCAGUAA